rnacentral:lncRNA from 1 species
GCUUCUUGUAGUAGGGUGACAUAAGGGCACUCUUGGUGGGCGAGUGCUCCAGCCCCAGCGUGUGCCCCACCUCGUGUGCAACUACCACAAAGAGGUUGCGGCCUUUGCCACUGUGCAGGGACCAGCGCUCGGCGCUGUCGAAGUGGGCCUCUCCACGUCGGGGGAAGAAGGCGUGGGCCAGGGCCCCCCCGUGCUGCAUGGAGCGCCGGCGGCGCGGGGCAGAGGGGCGG